CUCAUGUGUUUUGUGUAUUUGUCUCUCUGUGUAUGUUGUAGGAGAUGGUCUCUCUCAAAUUAUUGGACCAGUUCCUCUAAGUUAUCAGAUUUGUGUGAAGCACAUGUUCAUGAUAUUGUUGAAGAGCCCAUGGAUGGUAACACUGGCUAGUUUAAUCCUAAUGUGUAGUUUUUUGUCCUUGGUUUUCUUAUUUGUUUAUUGUUAUUGUAUUUCUCAUACCUUUGUUAUAUUUAUUUACUUUGAUGUGGUGGAAAGGAUUGAAACCACUGACUCACUGGUGCUAGGCAAGCACUCUACACUGAGCCAUAACCUCACUCCUGUCCUCUGUUUCCUUAGCCACAUAUUAGUUUGUCAGUGAUGCUGAUGUUCAUGAAGAACUUGGUUUUGCAGACUGCUGAUUUCUUGAUUGUGGUUUCACCAACACCCUCUGUUUCCUGCCUGUGCUUAAUUUACACUUACCUUGCUCUUCGUUCUCUACUUUCCUUAAAUGCCAGGUUCAAUGGUUGCUUUUAUCUCUUCUUUUCUGGAAUGUGCUUUGGAUGCUGCAGAAACCCCAGUGCACCAUCCAUGCUUUUUUUUCCCAUGUUGGACUCGUACAUUUUAUUUUUCUCAACAUGGUCAAGUUUGCCCCUUAGUCACCUCUUCCUCCUGUGUCUGUUUAGAGUCCUGUGUUGCAUCUCCCACUUCUUAGUGGUUUUCCAGCUGCUUCUGAUGUCAUUUCUGAACUUUCAUCUUCUUUGAGCAUACUUGGGAUUUCACUUGCAUUGCACACUUGUUGAGGUGAGGUUUAUGGCUCAGAAUGGGGCAUGUUCUGGGGAGUUUUACUGUGAUUCUGAGAAGGCUGUGUUUUUCACUGUUGACUAAUGUCCAGUGAAGCCCUCCUGUCUGUUGCUCCGCUACAUGGUCACAGACCGACUGAGUUGUGGUGAUGUCUCCAAAUGUAGCAGUAUAUUCUUCAUUGUCCUGGGAACUUUUGUAUGUCUCUGCCUGAUGUAUUUUGGUUUUGUUUUAGGUGCAUGCAUACUAAUAAUUCAAGACACUUAAUGAAAGUUUAGCCUAGGGCCACCACAGUGGCAUAUCCCUUUGAUCCCAUCAGCUCAGGACUCUUAGGCUGGA
rnacentral:lncRNA from 1 species